AUACGUAGGGGGCGAGCGUUGUCCGGAAUGAUUGGGCGUAAAGGGCGCGUAGGCGGCCCGGUAAGUCUGGAGUGAAAGUCCUGUUUUUAAGAUGGGACUUGCUUUGGAUACUGUCGGGCUUGAGUGCAGGAGAGGUAAGUGGAAUUCCCAGUGUAGCGGGGAAAUGCGUAGAGAUUGGGAGGAACACCAGUGGCGAAGGCGACUUACAGGACUGUAACUGACGCUGAGGCGCGAAAGUGUGGGGAGCAAACAGGAUUAGAUACCCUGGUAGUCCACACUGUAAACGAUGAAUGCUAGGUGUAGGGGGUAUCGACCCCUUCUGUGCCGCAGUCAACACAAUAAGCAUUCCGCCUGGGGAGUACGGCCGCAAGGUUGAAACUCAAAUGAAUGGACGGGG
rnacentral:rRNA from 1 species